AUAAGCCCGUACCCCGGCGAAGGCCGGGGUCCAGUUGCGGAACGUGUGCGGUUCUACCGUCAGCCAUUGAACGGUACCCGACUGGACCCCGGUCUUCGCCGGGGUACGGCGUCGC
rnacentral:miRNA from 1 species